rnacentral:rRNA from 1 species
GACGAACGCUGGCGGCGUGCCUAAUACAUGCAAGUCGAGCGAUGAAGAUUGGUGCUUGCACCAAUUUGAAGAGCAGCGAACGGGUGAGUAACGCGUGGGGAAUCUGCCUUUGAGCGGGGGACAACAUUUGGAAACGAAUGCUAAUACCGCAUAACAACUUUAAACAUAAGUUUUAAGUUUGAAAGAUGCAAUUGCAUCACUCAAAGAUGAUCCCGCGUUGUAUUAGCUAGUUGGUGAGGUAAAGGCUCACCAAGGCGAUGAUACAUAGCCGACCUGAGAGGGUGAGCGGCCACAUUGGGACUGAGACACGGCCCAAACUCCUACGGGAGGCAGCAGUAGGGAAUCUUCGGCAAUGGACGAAAGUCUGACCGAGCAACGCCGCGUGAGUGAAGAAGGUUUUCGGAUCGUAAAACUCUGUUGGUAGAGAAGAACGUUGGUGAGAGUGGAAAGCUCAUCAAGUGACGGUAACUACCCAGAAAGGGACGGCUAACUACGUG